rnacentral:piRNA from 1 species
UAAGACUCAAAGAAAGAUAGAGUUAAAGCA